rnacentral:rRNA from 1 species
GACGAACGCUGGCGGCGUGCCUAAUACAUGCAAGUAGAACGCUGAAGCGAGGAGCUUGCUCUUCUUGGCUGAGUUGCGAACGGGUGAGUAACGCGUAGGUAACCUGCCUUGUAGCGGGGGAUAACUAUUGGAAACGAUAGCUAAUACCGCAUAACAAUGGAUGACACAUGUUAUUUAUUUGAAAGGGGCAAUUGUUCCACUACAUGGUGGACCUGCGUUGUAUUAGCUAGUAGGUGAGGUAAUGGCUCACCUAGGCGACGAUACAUAGCCGGCCUGCGAGGGGGGACGGCCCACCUGGGAAUUGGGAACGGCCCAGGACCCUUACGGAGGGAGGAGGAAGGGAUCUUUGGGAAUGGGGGCAAAGCUGGACGAGGAACGACGGGGGGGGGGAGGAGGGUUUCGGGUUGGAAAGCUUUGUUGUAUGGCGAGAAAGAGUGUGAGAGUGGAAUGUUCACGUUGUGACGGUAGCUGACCAGAAAGCGACGGCUAACUACGUG